AUGGACCCCCAAAGAUCUCCAAAGGAAACUUUCCUCAUUACAGGAGGAGGUGGCUAUUUUGGUUUCCACCUGGGCCAUGCUCUGAACCAAAAGGGAGUCCACGUAAUUCUAUUUGACAUCAGCAGUCCUGCUCAAACCAUUCCAGAAGGAAUCAAGUUUGUACAUGGAGACAUCCGCCACCUCUCUGACAUAGAGAAAGCCUUGACACAGAUGUCACAUGUGUGUUCCAUAUUGCCUCUUAUGGUUUGUCAGGGAAGGAGCAACUAAAUCAAAACCUGAUCAAAGAGGUCAGCAUUGGGAGUACAGACAACAUCCUCCAGGUUUGCCAGAGGAGGGGGGUGCCAGAGAAGAAGGUGCUGGAGGCGAAGAGCACACCCCUGGACAGAGGUGAUGGUGUCUUAAGAACCUGUUCUCUGAGGCCGGCUGGCAUCUAUGGGCCUGGAGAACAAAGACACCUUCCCAGAAUAGUCAGCUAUAUUGAGAAAGACACGUUCAAGUUUGUCUGUGGAGAUCCUAGAAGCCUGGUUGAGUCUGUCCAUGUGGAUAACUUGGUGCAGGCUCACAUUCUGGCCUCAGAGGCCCUGAGAGCUGACAAGGGACAUAUUGCCUCUGGACAGCCCUACUUUGUCUCAGAUGGCUGACCAGUGAACAAUUUUGAGUUCUUCUGGCCUCUGGUUGAGGAUCUGGAUUACAUGCUCCCAUCCACCCACCAGCCGUUGACCAUGGUCUACUGCUUUGCUUUCCUAAAACAGAUGGCUCGCUUCAUUUUGGGUUGACUCUACAACUUCCAGCCCCUCCUCACCCACACUGAAGGUUACAAAACUGGUGUCACCCAUUAUUUUAGCUUAGGGAAAGCCAAGAAAGAG
rnacentral:lncRNA from 10 species